AUAGUGUGAGUGAUUGAGUGGGAGAGAGGGUGUGUGUCAAUCUCAUAUAAAACAGGAGGAGAGUGGCACUGAGCAUGCUCAUUCCUCUGGUCUCCAAACCAAAACGUCCCACAGCAUACAUAUUUAGGAUGACAUCACACAGUUCUAGGAUCUUGCUGAGCAUAUAUAAAGUUUAUACUCGAAUGUCCGUUUUCCUAAAACACCUAUUCAAAGCAGAUUCUCUAUCUAGAUUAGCGGGAGGAAUACCCGGGUUUCCUUUAAACUUAC